rnacentral:lncRNA from 1 species
UAAGCAGAUACAGGGGCCAUCAUUACUCAGAAGUCGCAUUAACAAUGCUGUCUUACCUUAGGAUUUCCAGACACAGAAAAAAUACCAUUAUUCCAGACAUGAAGGGCAGUGAUACAGUGUUUUUUAUUACAGGCUUCUAGGACUGCCAAGGCUGAUACCAUCUGUGUCUGACAGAAGGAAUCUUCCGUGAUGAUCUGUCCUUCUGUGACAGAAGGAAUCUCCCUCUCUGAGGGAAUGUGAUGCUGUUAUAUUAGUCUGCUGGAGCUGCCAUAACAAAACACCUUCAAAUGCGCGGCUUACACAACAGAAAUUCAUUGUCUCAUGAAUCUGGAGGCGAGAAGUUCAAGAUCAACGUUCUGUGGUUCAAAGUAUAGACCCCGCUAUCAGGAUGCCUGGACUCAAAUCCUAGCUCUGCUCCUUACUCUCUGGGUGACCACAAAAAACAGGAAACUAGCUGAAUGGAAGAUUUGACAAAAGUAUGGAGAGACGGUUCCUGAAUCCUCACAGGAGGAGAUGGUGCCUGGACACCACAAAGAAUCUUCUUCUGAUUGGACAAUAAAUGCAGAGAGACCAAGCAGAUGCUGUCUCCUGAACUUUGAAUCCUCUCUGACUCCAGCAAAAGCAAUGAGUACUGUUGAAAUCAUUUGUUCAGUGAAAAGAGUGAUGUGUGGACCAUCUGGUUCUUGCUGUCUAAUCCUGAAUGUUCCUGGUCCCUGACUAUUACAUCAACUCAGUGAAACUUUAAUGUCUUUCCAUUAAAUUCUUCUUUUUCCUUAAGACAUCCAGAAUGAAUUCCUACUGUUUGCACAUGUGGAUUUCUUUUCCAAAUUCAU